rnacentral:rRNA from 1 species
GACGUAGGGCGCAAGCGUUGUCCGGAUUUAUUGGGCGUAAAGAGCUCGUAGGCGGCUUGUUGCGUCGUCCGUGAAAACCCGCAGCUCAACUGCGGGCUUGCGGACGAUACGGUCAGGCUAGAGUUCGGUAGGGGAGACUGGAAUUCCUGGUGUAGCGGUGAAAUGCGCAGAUAUCAGGAGGAACACCGGUGGCGAAGGCGGUUCUCUGGGCCGAUACUGACGCUGAGGAGCGAAAGCGUGGGGAGCGAACAGG